UACGGAGGGGGCUAGCGUUGUUCGGAAUUACUGGGCGUAAAGAGUGCGUAGGUGGUUUAGUAAGUUGGAAGUGAAAGCCCGGGGCUUAACCUCGGAAUAGCUUUCAAAACUACUAAUCUAGAGUGUAGUAGGGGAUGAUGGAAUUCCUAGUGUAGAGGUGAAAUUCUUAGAUAUUAGGAGGAACACCGGUGGCGAAGGCGGUCAUCUGGGCUACAACUGACACUGAUGCACGAAAGCGUGGGGAGCAAACAGG
rnacentral:rRNA from 1 species